UACGUAGGUGGCAAGCGUUGUCCGGAUUUACUGGGCGUAGAGAGCGCGCAGGCGGUUGUUUAAGUCGAAUGUGAAAGCCCCCGGCUCAACUGGGGAGGGUCAUUCGAUACUGAUCGACUUGAAGGCAGGAGAGGGAAGUGGAAUUCCGGGUGUAGUGGUGAAAUGCGUAGAUAUCCGGAGGAACACCAGUGGCGAAGGCGACUUCCUGGCCUGUUCUUGACGCUGAGGCGCGAAAGCUGGGGGAGCAAACGGG
rnacentral:rRNA from 1 species